UACGUAGGUGGCGAGCGUUGUCCGGAUUUACUGGGCGUAAAGAGCGCGCAGGCGGCUGGUCAAGUCCGAUGUGAAAGCUCCCGGCUUAACUGGGAAAUUGCAUCGGAAACUGAUCGGCUGGAAGGUGGGAGAGGGUAGCGGAAUUCCCGGUGUAGUGGCGAAAUGCGUAGAGUAUCUGGAGGAACACCGGUGGCGAAGGCGGCAUUCUGGACCGAAACUGACGCUGAGGCGCGAAAGCCAGGGGAGCAAAGCGGG
rnacentral:rRNA from 1 species